GAAAUCUUCAAAGUAAAUCUUUUGUUAACUCAAUUGGUUUCUACUUUGGUAUUGGAGGCCAUUGCAGCUUCACACCUGCUCCUCUUUGUUCAUUAGCUGGAUCUCAGUGUUAUGCUUGGUUCCACUCAGCGUGAUAAGUUAUCUAUCGCUGAGGACACUGUAAAAGGUGGCCAAGGUAAAUGCAGAUGAACCGCUUCUAAUAGUCCAUUGACUUGGACAAUAAAUUAAAUUUUUAUGAUCUGAUCUCAAAUCAGGUAGGACUACCCGCUGAACUUAA
rnacentral:misc_RNA from 1 species